CACACGAAUACAACAGAAAAAAAAUAGAUUUACAACUACAAACGUUAAGACAUUUGACAAAAUCCGAUGACAAUAACAAAUAUAACAUCAAAACUAAAUAAAUGAAUUUGGGAUGGAAAAGUACCGUGACACGUCUUAUAGCAAUGCGAAUUCACACUCAUCAAAACAGUCACAAUAGGGAAUAAGUCACAUUCGGUAAUAAAAAGAUCAGACGACGUAAUGACAAACCAC
rnacentral:lncRNA from 1 species